CUGGCUCAGAUUGAACGCUGGCGGCGUGCUUAACACAUGCAAGUCGCGCGUGAAAGGACUUCGGUCCGAGUAAAGCGGCGCACGGGUGAGUAACGCGUGGACGAUCUACCCAUGAGUUAGGAAUAACGGCUGGAAACGGUCGCUAAUACCAAAUACGCUCCGAUUUCAACUUCGGGGGAAAGGUGGCCUCUGCUUGCAAGCUACUGCUCAUGGAUGAGUCCGCGUCCCAUUAGCUAGUUGGUGGGGUAACGGCCCACCAAGGCGACGAUGGGUAGCCGGUCUGAGAGGAUGACCGGCCACACUGGGACUGGAACACGGCCCAGACUCCUACGGGAGGCAGCAGUGGGGAAUAUUGCGCAAUGGGCGAAAGCCUGACGCAGCGACGCCGCGUGAGGGAUGAAGGUCCUCGGAUCGUAAACCUCUGUCAGGAGGGAAGAACCGCCACGGUGCUAAUCAGCCGUGGUCUGACGGUACCUCCAAAGGAAGCACCGGCUAACUCCGUGCCAGCCGCAGC
rnacentral:rRNA from 1 species